UCUAGAGAUUAGAGUUUGAUCAUGGCUCAGAUUGAACGCUGGCGGCAGGCCUAACACAUGCAAGUCGAGCGGUAGCACAGGAGAGCUUGCUCUCUGGGUGACGAGCGGCGGACGGGUGAGUAAUGUCUGGGAAACUGCCUGAUGGAGGGGGAUAACUACUGGAAACGGUAGCUAAUACCGCAUAACGUCUACGGACCAAAGUGGGGGACCUUCGGGCCUCAUGCCAUCAGAUGUGCCCAGAUGGGAUUAGCUAGUAGGUGGGGUAAUGGCUCACCUAGGCGACGAUCCCUAGCUGGUCUGAGAGGAUGACCAGCCACACUGGAACUGAGACACGGUCCAGACUCCUACGGGAGGCAGCAGUGGGGAAUAUUGCACAAUGGGCGCAAGCCUGAUGCAGCCAUGCCGCGUGUGUGAAGAAGGCCUUCGGGUUGUAAAGCACUUUCAGCGAGGAGGAAGGGUUCAGUGUUAAUAGCACUGUUCAUUGACGUUACUCGCAGAAGAAGCACCGGCUAACUCCGUGCCAGCAGCCGCGGUAAUACGGAGGGUGCAAGCGUUAAUCGGAAUUACUGGGCGUAAAGCGCACGCAGGCGGUUUGUUAAGUCAGAUGUGAAAUCCCCGCGCUUAACGUGGGAACUGCAUUUGAAACUGGCAAGCUAGAGUCUUGUAG
rnacentral:rRNA from 1 species